AUUGACGCUGGCGGCAGGUCUAACACAUGCAAGUCGAACGAGUGGCGGGCGGGUGAGUAAUGUCUGGGACACUGCCUGAUGGAGGGGGAUAACUUCUGGACACGGUCUCUAAUACCGCAUCCUCUACAUCCCGAAGCGGUUUGUUAGCUAGUUGGGGGGGUAACGGCUCCCCUAGGCGACGAUCCCUAGCUGGGCUGAGAGGAGGACCAGCCACACGGGAACUGAGACACGGUCCAGACUCCUACGGGAGGCAGCAGUGGGGAAUAGUGCACAAUGGGCGCAAGCCUGAUGCAGCCAUGCCGCGUGUAUGAAGAAGGCCUUCGGGUUGUAAAGUACUUUCAGCGGGGAGGCGUUACCCGCAGAAGAAGCACCGGCUAACUCCGUGCCAGCAGCCGCGGUAAUAC
rnacentral:rRNA from 1 species